rnacentral:rRNA from 1 species
GACGAACGCUGGCGGCGUGCUUAACACAUGCAAGUCGAACGAUGAAGCCCAGCUUGCUGGGUGGAUUAGUGGCGAACGGGUGAGUAACACGUGGGCAACCUGCCCCAAACUCUGGGAUAACACCUCGAAAGAGGUGCUAAUACCGGAUACGAACUAGACAGACAUCUGUACUAGUUGGAAAGUUUUUCGGUUUGGGGUUGGCCCGCGGCCUGUCUGCUUGGUGGUGAGGUAACGGCUCACCAAGGCUACGACGGGUAACCGGCCUGAGAGGGCGACCGGUCCAACUGGGACUGAGACACGGCCCAGACUCCUACGGGAGGCAGCAGUGGGGAAUAUUGCGCAAUGGGCGAAAGCCUGACGCAGCGACGCCGCGUGAGGGAUGAAGGUCUUCGGAUCGUAAACCUCUUUCAGUAGGGACGAAGCGAAAGUGGCGGUACCUAAAGAAGAAGCACCGGCUAACUACGUGCCAGCCGCCGCCGUAA